GAGCUUACAGUGCAACUGGAGAAGAAGACACAAAAUGAUUUCCGGAAUGGAGGCCACUGAGAUGGGUGUUAUUUAGAUACCAGUCAAGUGUAAAUCUGCUCAUCGGUAUACCCUGUCUGAAAAAGCAGCUGCAUUAAAUUAAAUACCCAGUAAUAGUUCA